AUGCAGCUGGGCAGGUUUCAGUCUGUGCAGAGCAGAAUGAGCCUCAUCCACCUGCUCACAUUCCAGUUUCCCAUCCGCUGUUACUGCAGUGCUGUACUGGUGAGCCGCCACUGCUUCCUACCUGACAUGGGGACAAUUCUACUUCCAGGAGCUAAAGAGCUGGAAAGCUUUGGAGGUGCUGCCCCUAGGCCAGCCGUGCAGGUCACCUUGAAGAAGCCCACCCUCCCCAGGAACAGCCAGGCAGGAGCCAAGGACCGUGGGGCAGCAGCUCUGCCAUCCUACAGCCCAGAGAGCCCCGGGCUGGGCACCCGAGCAGCAGCCACAAGCUUUGGUCAGAAGAACUCCAAGAGCCAAGCUGAAGACUUCCACGGAGUUUAUGAAAAUUCACCUCAGGCUUCGCCUCUGCGCAAUAAAAUCAAGAUCUUGUAAGCAUGGUGCAGACAGGACCUGCAAAGCACUCUGUGGAGGAAAAGCACUGAACCAGUGACCCAUUGGAUAGAAGAAAAACUGCCCCAUGCCAUGGUAGGGACACUCCCCACUCAGGAGAUGGAGAUUCUCCCUUAGUAAUAAAGUAUUCCAUUUUAUAACA
rnacentral:lncRNA from 1 species